rnacentral:rRNA from 1 species
UGGGGAAUUUUGGACAAUGGGCGAAAGCCUGAUCCAGCAAUGCCGCGUGUGUGAAGAAGGCCUUCGGGUUGUAAAGCACUUUUGUCCGGAAAGAAAUCCUUGGCCCUAAUACAGUCGGGGGAUGACGGUACCGGAAGAAUAAGCACCGGCUAACUACGUGCCAGCAGCCGCGGUAAUACGUAGGGUGCAAGCGUUAAUCGGAAUUACUGGGCGUAAAGCGUGCGCAGGCGGUUUGCUAAGACCGAUGUGAAAUCCCCGGGCUCAACCUGGGAACUGCAUUGGUGACUGGGCAGGCUAGAGUAUGGCAGAGGGGGGUAGAAUUCCACGUGUAGCAGUGAAAUGCGUAGAGAUGUGGAGGAAUACCGAUGGCGAAGGCAGCCCCCUGGGCCAAUGCUGACGCUCAUGCACGAAAGCGUGGGGAGCAAACAGGAUUAGAUACCCUGGUAGUCCACGCCCUAAACGAUGUCCAACUAGUUGUUGGGGAUUCAAUUUCCUUAGUAACGUAGCUAACGCGUGAAGUUGACCGCCUGGGGAGUACGGUCGCAAGAUUAAAACUCAAAGGAAUUGA